GACGGGGCCGCACAAGCGGUGGAGCAUGUGGUUAAUUCGAAGCAACGCGAAGAACCUUACCAGGUCUUGACAUCCCUGACAACCAAGAGAUUGGGCGUCCCUUCGGGGGACAGGGUGACAGGUGGUGCAUGGGUUGUCGUCAGCUCGUGUCGUGAGAUGUUGGGUUAAGUCCCGCAACGAGCGCAACCCUCGCCUCUAGUUGCCAGCAUUCGGUUGGGCACUCUAGAGGGACUGCCGGCGACAAGUCGGAGGAAGGUGGGAUGACGUCAAAUCAUCAUGCCCCUUAUGACCUGGGCUACACACGUGCUACAAUGGGCGGUACAAAGGGCUGCGAACCCGCGAGGGGGAGCGAAUCCCAAAAAGCCGCUCUCAGUUCGGAUUGCAGGCUGCAACUCGCCUGCAUGAAGCCGGAAUCGCUAGUAAUCGCGGAUCAGCAUGCCGCGGUGAAUACGUUCCCGGGCCUU
rnacentral:rRNA from 1 species